GAUUAACGCUGGCGGCGUGCAUAACACAUGCAAGUCGAACGAUGAGACUUAGUAGACUUCUUCGGAAAGACACUAAGCGGAGUAGUGGCGAACGGGUGAGUAACGCGUGAGUAACCUGCCUUACACAAGGGGAUAGGCUUAGGACACGAAGAAUAAUACCCUAUAAAACCAUAAAAGCACAUGCUAGAGUGGUCAAAGUGAUAGGGGUGUAAGAUGGACUUGCGUCUGAUGAGCUAGUUGGUGAGAUAAAAGCUGACCAAGGCGACGAGCAGUAGCCGGCGGGUGAGAGUGUACGGCGACACUGAGACUGAGACACGGCCCAGACGGCUACCAGCGGCAGCAGUGGUGAAUUUAGGACAAGGGGGGAAACCCUGAUGCAGCGCCGGCGCGUGAUUGAGAAGGCCGUUGGGUUGUAAAAAUCCUUUGUACAGGACGAAAAUGACAGUACUAUAUGAAUAAGGACCGGCUAAUUACGUG
rnacentral:rRNA from 1 species